CGACGUGAGGAACCUGCCUUGAAGAGGGGGACAACAGUUGGAAACGACUGCUAAUACCGCAUGACGCAUAGAGGUCGCAUGAUCUUUAUGCCAAAGAUUUAUCGCUUCAAGAUGGCCUCGCGUCUGAUUAGCUAGUUGGCGGGGUAACGGCCCACCAAGGCGACGAUCAGUAGCCGGACUGAGAGGUUGAACGGCCACAUUGGGACUGAGAUACGGCCCAG
rnacentral:rRNA from 1 species